rnacentral:rRNA from 1 species
UACGGGGGGGGCGAGCGUUGUUCGGAAUUACUGGGCGUAAAGGGUUUGUAGGUGGUCUGCUAAGUCAGACGUGAAAUCCCUCGGCUUAACCGGGGAACUGCGUCUGAUACUGGAUGGCUGGAGUGCGGGAGAGGGAUGCGGAAUUCCAGGUGUAGCGGUGAAAUGCGUAGAUAUCUGGAGGAACACCGGUGGCGAAGGCGGCAUCCUGGACCAUUACUGACACUGAAAAGCGAAAGCCAGGGGAGCAAACGGG